GAAUCGGAAAGGUUAUUGCCUAAAACGAGAGGCAACAGUCGCAAGCACAUCUUAUUACCCAGAUUGAACUCCUAAUCGAUCCAUCCAUAUUAUCAUUCCUGUGCGGCUGACAGUAUUGCAGAGAGCAAUCCCAAGAAUUUGAUGCAGAUAUGGCCGAUUUUAGUAGAAUGUUUCACCCAACCUUCAUCUUCAUUGUUCAGUACCCGGGACAGAACGUCGAAAAGAUGAAAAUUCCACCGCUCUUUAGUAGGGAGCACUUGAGGGACGAUGACAUUGACGUCGCUCAACUAGUCUUGGAUGGAUGCAGGAAGUGUUCAUAUUAUGUGAAGGUUACCCCACAAGGGCGGGACCAUUGGCUGGGUUCUGGUUGGGGGACAAUGUCUGAGACGAUCAGGGUCGAAUGGUGCUGCUACUUCAGUACAAAGGCGGAAUGAAGUUCGUCGUGUGCCGUUAUGAUGUCAACCGGGCGUUGAUGUAUGCUUCUCCUCGACCCAGAUUCGGUCGCCUGCCUCCCACAUCACCGACUAUUAGGGGUAUAUUCGACGACUUCGUAUCUGACAUUUGGGAUGAGACGGUCAAUGUGGUAAGUAACAAUUUGCCAUCACUGAUAUGGUCUAUGUGGUAUACGUCCAUAACCUAUUACCGACUGUAAUUGUUUUGGGUGCAUUUGACAAUGUCAACCUGUCGUACCAAGAGGUGUCGUCCAUGAUAGGCUGAUUGCGGACUGAUCCCCUGCUGUUUGUGACUUCCGAUGGGAGACGGAUCCUCCAGUAUUCCAGCAUGUGGAGCUCAUGGGAGGACGUAGGAAGCUAAGAUUCGUACAUGAAUGGGAACGCUUUCACUUGGAGAAUCGGUUGGGAAAACGUCGGUGCUGUGUGUUCACCUACUUGGGAAAUCUGCGGUUCUCGGUUCUUAUGUUCGACACUGUUCGAGGAACCCUUUGCACGACGCCGCUGCAAUUCACCCAAGCUCCAGACGCGCCUCCACAUACCAAUGGUAUUGACCAAGAAGAGGGGAAUUUGGACCCUGAGGAUGACCAUAUGGAUGCGGAUGGGGCACAGGUGGAAGAUAUGGAGCAAGGAAUUAAUGAAGAUGAAGUUGAAGAAGGCGACGACGAACCUCAGGAGGAAAGGGUGCCAGCAAGAUGGCGUAGAGGGAGAUCCUGCCAAUGCACAAUCUAAAGAUGUCACGGUUAUCUACCAGCCAAGUUUGCUCAGGCCACAUUUCCCAGAGGAACACCAGUUCAGAUAAAGGUGCAGAAAUUAGACGGACGUGUGUGGAGAAUGAAAGCCGUCCCAUCCAAUACCACUCACUACUUAAGUGCUAGGUACACCAAAUUCAGGGAGGACCUCAGUUUGCCUCUAGGGUCUGCAAUUGAGAUCCAUGUGGUUGACCGCAACAGAUUGGUUUUCGAGUGAAGUGGAUAUGGUAUGGCUGCUAUGUUUUUUUGGCUCGGUGCAACCAUUGGCGAAAACUAAUUUUCAUAUCUUUGGUGUUAAUGUUUAUGCUCAUCCAUCUGUUUCUGCAUGUUUUUGGAAUUCUAGUUAUGUCGGUUUUUAUUUCAACGGACAAUUAAUAUUAGUACA